rnacentral:lncRNA from 1 species
CACCAACUUCCAUGGAUUCUGGUGCACUCAGAAAAAAAUUCCUGGAGUUUCCGUAUGUGUCGGCCCCACAUCGGAACUUGAUGCUGGAGCUAAUAUCUUCUAUGGAGACCAGAAUUGGAGAUUCUUUACAACCCUGUACUCUCCCACCUGAUGCACAGUAUUUUGAAAAUCCAAAUGGUAGUGCACAUGCUUCUCUCCACCUCAGAUCUGGUGUUUCCUCCUCACAGGUAACGUAUCCUUUUUUUUUCCUUCAUGUUUUGUAGUUGGUCCAGCAAUGGAUAUGGAGUUUAUAUCGGAAAAUAUAUUGUAGAUAAAUAAUGGUUCCUGUAGCUAAGAUUUUCAACAGUGCUGAGUUAAUUUAAUCAAUGGUCACUGCACUUUGCUAAAGGUUGCUCACCGAAAUUUGAACAAAUUUAUAAGGUUACUAAUGAUUAUCUUGUUAUUUUCCCCACAGUGGCUGAAUUUGUCGAAUUUGACAGGAUAGUUGAUACGCAUACGCAUACGCAUCUGAAAAGAUAUUGCCCUCUUACAUGGAAUUACAAAUUAUGACUUAUAGAAUUGGAUUACUUGAGUUCAAGUUUGAAGCAAUGGUUGAGAAAGUUUUGAUCCUGAGCAGAAAUGGUUUAUAGCAUAAAUCAUUGUUCCUAAAUGAGAAAAUAAUCCGUUGUGCUUGUGUAUCCGCAAUAUUUCUAAAUAGUCAUGCUUAAAAUAUCUCAAAUAAUACCAAAUUGACACUAAAAGUAGCAAGUAAAAUGGUAAGGAUUAUGUGAGUUAUGUGGAAAGUUUAAGCAUAUGCCCCUGUCAAGACCUGUGUCUUAGGUGUUGAUCUUCAAGAAAAAAGUCUGCCAUUCUUCUCUUUGCAGUUUUGUGGUUUUGAGAAAACAAAUGAAUACAUAAUGUAUGGAAAUGAGAAAUGCACUGUCUGCACAGCCUCACCACUAAAGUGACUUCAGCCAGGCAAUCCUUCUUUCUUCUCAAGCACUCAUCGAGUCUCACAAACUCUUGACAUAGAAGCAGAUGGGGUUUUGAUCUCGAUCCUUUAUUUUAUGCAAGAAAACAAAAAUAUCUAAUCUAGUUGAUGACAAAAUAGAUCUUUUAGUAUGAGAUUGCAGGUGGUCCUUCACCUGACUUACUAGCUUAUUCCAUAUACCGACGGCUACGAAAACAUGGACUAAGCCCUUUCUGAAAGCGUACGGUACACGAUCAAUUAGUUACCAGAGAUAAGCUCACACAUGGCUGAGGUCAGUGCAUGGCAAGCUAUGUUCUAGACUUUCCCUAGAAGAUCCAUAUUACUAAAUUGUGUGAAUCCUCUCUCAAGAGAGCUUCAGAAAGAGCCUUUGUCUAGCCUCGCUUUAAAUUUACAGGCAAAGGCUAAACUAAUCAACCUGUAGCUUGAUGCUCUGUGAGCUUUCUCUCUUCUAAUUAACUUGAAUUUAUUGUUUAGUCAUUAGUGGUGUGGGUUGACUGACUCGUCUGCUCUAUGACCUGGUGCUCAGCCUAUGCAAAAGCUGAAGUUUGGUUAAUGAUGAGUAAGGAAAAUUGAGCCAUUUUCUCCAAACUUGGUUAAAGGAAUUCAUCAUUUCUUCCAAUCCACUGACAUAUUGCCGGUUCAUUCGUUAGGUUGCCACAUAUGUUGAACCUCCAAAAAUUCUCAUGGGAUAGUCUAAAUAAAACGCUUCCUGUCUCUGUACCAUUUUUUAACUCCGAUUUCCAUUUUUAUUAACCGUUUUACAUCAAGAACAUUUUCUGAUAAAUGACGUAUUUUCUUGAUAUGGUCCACCCUAUUAACGAAAAAGAAAAGAAAAUGUAGCCAUCGCCCAAACGCAAAUGAUGAGGUGAUUGGAAAGCUCAGCAAUCACACCAGUGAACAAUUGAUGUGGCCAUAUUACCUAAUGACACAUAUUUAAACACAUUAUGCUUGUAUACUGUUUGUUUGAUUCCUUCUAUGCAAAAUUAGAUACUGGAUGCCCAAUUUUUUUAUUCGGGACAAACAAUUAAGUAAACUGAGUUUUGCCUCCUCAAAAAUGAUAUGCACGCACACUCUUAACCUCGUAGGAAGACCACGUCUAAUACUCCUUAAACUAUCCAAAAUAAGUGUCGUAAUUCUAUACAUAUCCUACACUUCUCCAACAAAGUGUGACGUUUCUGUUAUCUGUGUAUUUUUUAUGACUAAGGGUGAUUAUUGUGUAUUGGAGGUAUAUUUAAGGGCUGAAGGGGUACCUGUUCAUGCUUAUAACCCCCCAAAUAUACCUCCGUUGUUAUGUAGUAAAAGUAUGGGACCCAAUUGCCUAGCAUCAAGUGCUCUAUAUCAAAUCCUAAUUGGGUGUUUCCAAAUUAUUGGCUCCUGUUAAGUUUUUCCUAUUACAUUGGAUCAAUUGGUGGAGAGUUUCUUCUAAUUAGAUAUCACCAGAGCCUUUAUUUAAUCACACUUGUAGUGCCAGUGAUUUCUUGUCUCUGUCGACUUUUUCAUCUUCUUGUCUGUUGAAGUUUGUUUUCAAAAGUUUCCUGGUUGUAGGAUUUUAACUUUUCCGGAAAGUAAGCAUUAAUAUUUAAAUCUUCUCUGAAUGUACCAGAUUGAUUUCAUAUUGGGGGGUUGGAUUCACUGCAAAUUGCCAUCAGGUGGAGCCUUGAACAUAACGAGCCUCUCGUCCUAUUUGAAACCCUCAACCGAUGCACCACAUUUCCUGAUGGACGUUAUCCAGAGCAGCAGAACGUCACUUGUACUGAUUCUCGAUUUAACGCCACGCAAGGACCUCAUCUUAAAUCUCGACUACCUUAAAACUUACUAUGAAGACACUCAGUUGGACACGUACAGACAACGCCUUCAGAGGCUACCUGAGGUAAGACCUUAUUUCUCGCCAUCUUUAUAUAUCCGCUCUGUUCUUUCUCCUACAGCUAUACUAGUUAGCAUCGACACUGGAGAUGGUGAAAAAAGUGUUGAGGAAAUGAUUCAAGAACAUAUCAAUCCUAUUGCCAAGGAGAUAGUGCAAUUCUGGUUGGAUAAGUGUGCUUCUGUGGAGAAACAAGUGGGAGAAACUGAGAGGGCUUAUUUGGUAAAGAGGGAUCAAAUAAUUAAGAGUAAGACCAUUGAGGUUGAUCUAGCUUCGAGCUUUCCAAGACCUGAUGCACAGUAUUUUGAAAAUCCAAAUGGUAGUGCACAUGCUUCUCUCCACCUCAGAUCUGGUGUUUCCUCCUCACAGGUAACGUAUCCUUUUUUUUUCCUUCAUGUUUUGUAGUUGGUCCAGCAAUGGAUAUGGAGUUUAUAUCGGAAAAUAUAUUGUAGAUAAAUAAUGGUUCCUGUAGCUAAGAUUUUCAACAGUGCUGAGUUAAUUUAAUCAAUGGUCACUGCACUUUGCUAAAGGUUGCUCACCGAAAUUUGAACAAAUUUAUAAGGUUACUAAUGAUUAUCUUGUUAUUUUCCCCACAGUGGCUGAAUUUGUCGAAUUUGACAGGAUAGUUGAUACGCAUACGCAUACGCAUACGCAUACGCAUACGCAUCUGAAAAGAUAUUGCCCUCUUACAUGGAAUUACAAAUUAUGACUUAUAGAAUUGGAUUACUUGAGUUCAAGUUUGAAGCAAUGGUUGAGAAAGUUUUGAUCCUGAGCAGAAAUGGUUUAUAGCAUAAAUCAUUGUUCCUAAAUGAGAAAAUAAUCCGUUGUGCUUGUGUAUCCGCAAUAUUUCUAAAUAGUCAUGCUUAAAAUAUCUCAAAUAAUACCAAAUUGACACUAAAAGUAGCAAGUAAAAUGGUAAGGAUUAUGUGAGUUAUGUGGAAAGUUUAAGCAUAUGCCCCUGUCAAGACCUGUGUCUUAGGUGUUGAUCUUCAAGAAAAAAGUCUGCCAUUCUUCUCUUUGCAGUUUUGUGGUUUUGAGAAAACAAAUGAAUACAUAAUGUAUGGAAAUGAGAAAUGCACUGUCUGCACAGCCUCACCACUAAAGUGACUUCAGCCAGGCAAUCCUUCUUUCUUCUCAAGCACUCAUCGAGUCUCACAAACUCUUGACAUAGAAGCAGAUGGGGUUUUGAUCUCGAUCCUUUAUUUUAUGCAAGAAAACAAAAAUAUCUAAUCUAGUUGAUGACAAAAUAGAUCUUUUAGUAUGAGAUUGCAGGUGGUCCUUCACCUGACUUACUAGCUUAUUCCAUAUACCGACGGCUACGAAAACAUGGACUAAGCCCUUUCUGAAAGCGUACGGUACACGAUCAAUUAGUUACCAGAGAUAAGCU